rnacentral:rRNA from 1 species
AUAUUGCUCAAUGGGAGAAAUCCUGAAGCAGCAACGCCGCGUGGAGGAUGAAGGGUCUAUGACUUGUAAACUCCUGUAAAGAAGGAAAAAAUUCCCAUUUGAUGGGAGAUGAUGGUACUUCUGGAGUAAGCCCCGGCUAACUACGUGCCAGCAGCCGCGGUAAUACGUAGGGGGCAAGCGUUGUCCGGAUUUACUGGGUGUAAAGGGUGCUCAGGCGGAUUUGUAAGUCAGAGGUGAAAUCUUACAGCUUAACUGUGAAACUGCCUUUGAUACUGCAAGCCUAGAGUAUGGAAGAGAGUGAUGGAAUAUCUGGUGUAGCAGUGAAAUGCGUAGAUAUCAUAUAGAACACCAAUGGCGAAGGCAGUCACUUGGUCCAUUACUGACGCUAAAGCACGAAAGCGUGGGUAGCAAACA